rnacentral:rRNA from 1 species
AUUGAACGCUGGCGGCAGGCCUAACACAUGCAAGUCGAACGAGUGGCGGACGGGUUAGUAAUGUCUGGGAAACUGCCCGAUGGAGGGGGAUAACUACUGGAAACGGUAGCUAAUACCGCAUACCAUCGGAUGUGCCCAGAUGGGAUUAGCUAGUAGGUGGGGUAACGGCUCACCUAGGCGACGAUCCCUAGCUGGUCUGAGAGGAUAGCCAGCAAAGAUGGAACUGAGACACGGUCCAGACUCCUACGGGAGGCAGCGGUGGGGAAUAUUGCACAAUGGGCGCAAGCCUGAUGCAGACAUGCCGCGUGUAUGAAGAAGGCCGUCGGGUUGUAAAGUACUUUCAGCGGGGAGGCGUUACUCGCAGAAGAAGCACCGGCUAACUCCGUGCCAGCAGCCGCGGUAAUAC